rnacentral:rRNA from 1 species
GACGAACGCUGGCGGCGUGCUUAACACAUGCAAGUCGAACGGGGUCCGGGCUUUCGGGUUUGGUGAGAGUGGCGAACGGGUGAGUAACACGUGAGUAACCUGCCCCCUUCUUUGGGAUAACGUCGGGAAAUCGGCGCUAAUACUGGAUAUUCUUGCUGCAUCGCAUGGUGUGGUUUGGAAAGGGUUUCUGGUGGGGGAUGGGCUCGCGGCCUAUCAGCUUGUUGGUGGGGUGAUGGCCUACCAAGGCUUUGACGGGUAGCCGGCCUGAGAGGGUGUCCGGCCACACUGGGACUGAGACACGGCCCAGACUCCUACGGGAGGCAGCAGUGGGGAAUAUUGCACAAUGGGCGCAAGCCUGAUGCAGCGACGCCGCGUGAGGGAUGACGGCCUUCGGGUUGUAAACCUCUUUCAGUAUGGAACAAGGAUCCUUCUUUUGGGGGGUUUGAGGGUACGUGCAGAAGAAGCGCCGGCUAACUACGUG